rnacentral:rRNA from 1 species
GACGAAUGCUGGCGGCGUGCUUAACACAUGCAAGUCGAACGAUGAAGCUAGAGCUUGCUCUGGUGGAUUAGUGGCGACCGGGUGAGUAACACGUGAGUAACCUGCCCCGAACUCUGGGAUAACUGCUGGAAACGGUAGCUAAUACCGGAUAUGACCAAUGAAGGCAUCUUCUGUUGGUGGAAAGAAUUUCGGUUCGGGAUGGACUCGCGGCCUAUCAGCUUGUUGGUGAGGUAACGGCUCACCAAGGCGACGACGGGUAGCCGGCCUGAGAGGGUGAUCGGCCACACUGGGACUGAGACACGGCCCAGACUCCUACGGGAGGCAGCAGUGGGGAAUAUUGCACAAUGGGCGCAAGCCUGAUGCAGCAACGCCGCGUGAGGGACGACGGCCUUCGGGUUGUAAACCUCUUUUAGUAGGGAAGAAGCGAAAGUGACGGUACCUGCAGAAAAAGCACCGGCUAACUACGUGCCAGCCGCCGCCGUAA